rnacentral:rRNA from 1 species
CCNAAAGUCAGCAGACUGCCAUGCAGUCGAGCGGUAACAGAGAGUUGCUUGCACCUUUGCUGACGAGCGGCGGACGGGUGAGUAAUGCUUGGGAACAUGCCUUGAGGUGGGGGACAACAGUUGGAAACGACUGCUAAUACCGCAUAAUGUCUACGGACCAAAGGGGGCUUCGGCUCUCGCCUUUAGAUUGGCCCAAGUGGGAUUAGCUAGUUGGUGAGGUAAUGGCUCACCAAGGCGACGAUCCCUAGCUGGUUUGAGAGGAUGAUCAGCCACACUGGGACUGAGACACGGCCCAGACUCCUACGGGAGGCAGCAGUGGGGAAUAUUGCACAAUGGGCGCAAGCCUGAUGCAGCCAUGCCGCGUGUGUGAAGAAGGCCUUCGGGUUGUAAAGCACUUUCAGUCAGGAGGAAAGGUUAGUAGUUAAUACCUGCUAGCUGUGACGUUACUGACAGAAGAAGCACCGGCUAACUCCGUGCCAGCAGCCGCGGUAAUACGGAGGGUGCGAGCGUUAAUCGGAAUUACUGGGCGUAAAGCGUACGCAGGCGGUUUGUUAAGCGAGAUGUGAAAGCCCUGGGCUCAACCUGGGAACUGCAUUUCGAACUGGCAAACUAGAGUGUGAUAGAGGGUGGUAGAAUUUCAGGUGUAGCGGUGAAAUGCGUAGAGAUCUGAAGGAAUACCGAUGGCGAAGGCAGCCACCUGGGUCAACACUGACGCUCAUGUACGAAAGCGUGGGGAGCAAACGGGAUUAGAUACCCCGGUAGUCCACGCCGUAAACGAUGUCUACUAGAAGCUCGGGUCCUCGGACUUGUUUUUCAAAGCUAACGCAUUAAGUAGACCGCCUGGGGAGUACGGCCGCAAGGUUAAAACUCAAAUGAAUUGACGGGGGCCCGCACAAGCGGUGGAGCAUGUGGUUUAAUUCGAUGCAACGCGAAGAACCUUACCUACACUUGACAUACAGAGAACUUACCAGAGAUGGUUUGGUGCCUUCGGGAACUCUGAUACAGGUGCUGCAUGGCUGUCGUCAGCUCGUGUUGUGAGAUGUUGGGUUAAGUCCCGCAACGAGCGCAACCCCUAUCCUUAGUUGCUAGCAGGUAAUGCUGAAAACUCUAAGGAGACUGCCGGUGAUAAACCGGAAGGAAGGGGGGGACGACGUCAAGUCAUCAUGGCCCUUACGUGGAGGGCUACCCACGUGCUACAAUGGGCCAUAACAGAGUGCUGCGAACCUGCGAAGGUAAACGAAUCACUUAAAAGUGCGUCCUAAUCCCGGAUUGGGAGCCCGCACCUCGACUCCUGGAAAUCCGGAAUUCCUUAGAUACCCGGUUUCAAAAAUGACCGGUGGAAAAACUUUCCCGGGCCUUUGAACCCACCGCCCGGUCACAACUUGGGAAUGGGGUUGCCCCA